rnacentral:rRNA from 1 species
CAUGGCCCGUUCGUCAGCUCGUGUCGUGAGAAUGUUGGGUUAAGUUCCCCGGNUAAACCGGAGCGCAAACCCCUUGUCCCUUUAGGUUGCCAGCACGUAAUGGUGGGAACUCUAAGGAGACUGCACGGCGAUAAGCUGGAGGAAGGUGGGGAUGACGUCAAGUCCUCAUGGCCCUUACGUCCCGGGCUACACACGUGCUACAAUGGCUGGUACAACGGGCAGCGAGACCGCGAGGUGGAGCUAAUCCCUUAAAACCAGUCUCAGUUGCAGUCUGCAACUCGACUGCAUGAAGUCGGAAUCGCUAGUAAUCGCAGGAUCAGCACGCCGCGGUG